rnacentral:lncRNA from 1 species
AGCACAGCGCAGGAGCUCUCAGACUACCUCAGAUGCCAAGAGCCUGGUUUGAAUACAAGCCUUGCCAUUGUGUGACUUUGGGUUUAAAGACCCCUGACGUGACUUAUUGCCAUUCUGCUACUGAGCCUUGAGAGAUUAUGGUAAGUGCCAAGAAAAAAAAAAUGACUUUGAACUGCUCUUUCACCAGUUAAAAAUAACACUGAAACCAAAUGUAAACAUAAAAGAAGUGGUCAGAUUCGGGUUACAUAUUAACGGUGUUUGGUCAGGCUGGAGCUGAGGCACAGCAGCAGAGAAUGCCUUUUACUUAUCACUGUUUCCAAACCUCCCUACCUGGACUAGGCUUGACUGGAUUUACAAGAGACCUUUUGAAAAGAUGCAGAGAAGGCAAGCAGCACACAUUUCCUGGUAAUAAAUUUUAAAGGUUGCUAAAACAUUCCAGAGAUUUUCACUCAACAUUCCUCUGGCCAACACAUCUGCAAUCUGCCAAUCCUUAAAAAUAGGUGUUUUUGCAUUUUAAUCUCACAAACAUCUUUGAAAAUGCAUUUCUUCUCUGCCCCUGUGUUGGACAAAUCCAGCUUUUUCCAUUUUCUAAAAACCACAGAAAUAUAAUGCUGCUUAAUUCAUACAAGACUGAGCUAACUGGAGUUAAAAUAAAAUUUCUGAGAGUUUGUUUGGCUCACUCUUCCCUACCAGAUGAUUCCAUUCUUAAAACGGUCCUGUGAUUAUAUUCUCUCAUUACAGAGGUGUCCAGAAAAAAAAUAAGGAGUGCAGUUCUGAAAUUAUAUAAAAGCAAAAUUAUUACUCUAAACGUAAGAGCUGUGAUAGAUCGUGUCAUUGACCAUGGUUCUUUUCCCCUGACACACACGUCCCCACCACCCACCCACUGUAUCCAUAUGCCUUUUGCCAUAUGACUUUGCAGCUCUCCCCACUAAAGGGGCAGCCAUGCGAUUUGCUUUGGCCAAUGAAAUGAGGCAGUAGUGGUGGUAUCCUAGUUCUGAGCCUAGGUCUCAAGAAGUCUUAUGUGUUUCUGCUUAUCCUCUUAUACCUCUGCCAUCACCAUGAGCCAAACAUCCCCCAAGUAGCCCACUGGUCCCAGGACAAGGAGGGAGACAUGAAGCAGAGCUCAUCCAGCUGCUGCAGCCCCACUUGACCCAGAGACCUACACUGGGAAGCAGAGCUGCCCAGUCAAGUCCAACCUGGAUGUGUGGAACCCCAGCCAACCUGAUGCAUGAGCAGGAGAUCAGCUUAAUAUUGAAUCCUAGCCUCAAUGCUUUGGAUUUGUGCCAAGAAAAAUAACCUGAUCCCCAGAAUCAUUGAGAAUUGACGGGGGUCCUCAGGCUGUGACUCUGGACAGUGAACAUUGGUGGAAAUUGGUUAUCCCCAAUUUCCAGCUCACGGCAUUGGAAGACAUCAUAAACAUUAAUGGAGAGCGGGAUGCCAGAAUAAGUUGAUCCAAAUGAUGCAGGAAUAUUUAGCAGCAAGGAGAAAGGAAUUCACAUUUCUCAGUACCCACUAUGUGCCAUACUUUGUGAUAAGAUGGUUUCCCUCCAAUAUAUCCUCAUUGUCAGCAAUGUCGGGAAACAGGAAUCAUUUCCCCUUCUACAGGUGAUAAAACUGAAGCAAGAAACAUACAGGCUAACAUCAGCUGAGCUGAGAUUUGAACUCCACUCUUUUUGACCCUGGAGCUGAUGAAUGCUGCUUCUAGAGGUUGAGUAUCCCUUAUCCGAAAUCCUUGGAACCAGGAGAUUUUUGGAUUUGGGAAUAUUUGCAUAUACAUAAUGAGAUAUCUUGGAGAUGGGACCCAAGUCUAAAUACAAAAUUAUUUUGUUGUAUAUACACCUUGUACACAUAGACUGAAGAUAAUUUUAUACAAUAUUUUAAAUAAUUUUGUGCGUGAAACAAAGUUGUGACUAUGUCUUGACUGUAAGACAUCUUGCAUGCAACCCAUCAUAUGAGGUCAGGUGCAGAAUUUUCCAUUUGUGGUGUCAUGUUAGUGCUCAAAAAUUUUCGGAUUUUGGAGCACUUCAGACUUUCGUUUUCCAGACGGGGGAUGCUCAACCUGUCUUAGAACCUGUGGUCUCCCAUCAUGCCUCCCUUCCCCAUUCCCUUGCUCCACUGGGGUCUGAGGUGGGAAAGCAAAAGGAGUUGCAGGUAACCCUCACUUUUCACACCAGGCAAUCUCUCCCCACAAUCUGUCACAUUCCUGAAGAACAAGGAAGCAGAGCACUCCACUGAAGAAAUUCUGUUAAAAUCUAUCCCCAACGUAUAAGCAUCCAUCUUUGUCCCAGUCUGGGUCUAACAUGAACAAAGUGCUUAAACAAUUCAGUAGAGGAGAAAGGGAACUUGGAGCAGCUCUGUCACCCUGAAGUGACACUGCCAUGCUGCAUUUCCUGUCUGUAAUAUCUCUUCAGAGCAAUUGUUUUCUUCUGUGAGGACACUUCAGAGAUUCACAGAGACAGAUGCUCUUGUGACUGACCAUAGCAAGUAUCAAAAGGCCUGGGUGGAAUUACGAAGCAUUUCUCGUGCACUGCGUAUUGGGAAGUGCUUCACAGCUGUGUGGCAGAUGUGAGUGGACAGAGGGGCAAGGGAACUGCCCCAAAGGAGGUGGCAGAGGAAGCAACAAGCCAGGGAUUGGCUGGCCGGUCCCAGCACAGCAACUGCAGCAGCAGCUUGCUAAGUUUCACAGGUGAAGCCAAAGGCUGGGGGGAAUGGAAAACAAAUAUCACUCCAUUAAAUUAAGGUCUGAGGAAAACAUGAUGAGGAAAGUCAAUAGUGAAUCAAAACAUUGAAAAGCCACUAACUUUGACUUUCCAUGUGCGUGUGCAAGUUCACGUGUGCAUGUGUGUCUGCAUGUCCAAGUUCUACACUGAUUCAAGAAAUAAUUAUAGAGGGCCUGCCAUAGGAUGGUGAGCAAAACAGUCUUGGCCUCUGUCCUGAUGGAGCAUGCAGUAUCACAGACUCUAUAUGUUCUAUUUCUAGGCCUUGUAUUUUGAGGAUAUAUGCCAGUGGAAUGAGAAUGGCUCUGUGACCUUGUUUAAGUCCCACCACUGUCUCAGGCAGGGUUUUCCAAAGUGUAGUCCUUAUACUAUUAUGUGGUGAAGAUGCUUAAUUGUUUUGUAAUUAUUUAAUGUGCGUAGGUAUCACAUCAAACCCAGUAUUUUCAAGGAUUUUUAUAGCUUAAGACAAGGCUUGUUAUAGGCAAGGUGGAUCAAUUCAAAAAAUAUAUGCUAACAAAAUAAUAGUGGAGGUGGUACAAAGAAACAGCAAAGGUAGUGAGAUGGCUUCACUGGUGUUUGUGAAUCACCAAGAUAAUGCACGUGGAAAUAAAAAUCAGUGUGGUCCAUAGAAAUACAAGGGGUUCUAAUUACCCCUCAGUGAGCACUUGCUCUCUCACUCACCCCAGCAAUGACAUAUUAAGCAAAGCACUGCCCUGACUGCAUAUGCUCUUGCCGACAACUUGGCCAGCAUUCAGAAGACACUAAGUGUGCUCUGGGAACUUCAGAAGGCACUAACAUUCCAUGGAGAACUUCACAAAGAGUGAGACCUAGUCCCUGGCCUAAAGAGAGUAUAAUUUAGUAGGAAAGAGAAGACAAACACACAAAUAACUGUAAAAUGGGAUAAGCCCCAAAGUGGAGGUACAAAGUCCCAUAGAAGAGGCUCAAUGAUAAGUCACGCCUGCCGGGUAAGGUCAAGAAAGACUUCAUGGAGAUUUGAGAUGGCAUCUGAGAUAAGCCAGGAAAGACGGUAGAAUUUCAACAACCAAAAAAGUGGGGAGAGGGAUGGGAGGCAUUCCAGAGAAGGAGAAAUGCUUGAGCAAUGGUACAGAGACCAGGAAGUUAUAUGAGGGCAGAAAGUCCCUGCUGUCUAUUUAGCUGGGAUAUAGAAUGCAAGUCAGUUAGAUGAUUAGGUGGGGUUAUAACAUAACUAGCCUUAAAUAGUGGACUGAGAAUUUUCCACUUAAUUUAAUGCAAAUGGCAGGGGAGGGGGCAGGCAAUGGAGAGCUGAAAACAGGACUGGAGAUGCGCUGGAGGGAAGUAACCCUGGAAAUGGGUGAAGUACGGGUUACUGUCACCCCAGCUCUGGUUCUUGUUAUUCCCUAGGAGAAGCAUAAUAGAAGUGUGAAUUUAGGGUAGCCAAAUGAUGACUUUGCAGAGGGAAUCUUUAGGACUUGUGACUUGAUUAAAAGCAGGGAGAUGGAUAGGGAACGUCCAAGGAUAACUAGAUAACUAGAGCUCUCCUGUUCCUCUGACUCAUGUGUGCUGAAACUGUAGAGUCAAACAAACACUUGUAAGUGGCGUGAUGUAAAUCCCUUAGGGGCCCAUGCCUGCCUCAAGAGAAGAACGUGUGGUCAGGAAAAACGACCGGGGGAAGUGAAAACGACACAAGACCCAGAGGAUAACCCUUAUUUUAUUCACACAUGCAAAUUUAGGCACAGCAAAAAGCAAAACGAAGUAUACCAAAUGUCAAGGGUUAAUUAUUAAUCAUUUCUAUAUUAAAUUAUGAGUUUUUCAGUAAGACACUUUUUGAUAAGAAACUUGAAUUACGUUCAUAACCAUCAAAAUAAAGAAAAUAAAAGAGACAGAUUUUCUUUGGUGGUGGGAGAACAUUAAGUAUUGUGGAAGCCUGAAAAAUGGUCCCCAAAAGAAUCUGGUCCUAAUCCUUAGAACUUGUGAGUAUUAUCUUACUUGGAAAAAGGGUUGUUUUAAGAUAAGGAUCUUGAGUUGGGAAGAUUGUCCUGAGUUAUUCAGGUAGGCUGUAAAUGCCAUCACAGGCAACCUUUUUACAUGGAUAUUUGACACAGAGUGGAGGAGACACCCAUAGGAGAAGGCUAUGUGAAGACAUAGCAUCGAGACACUUGAAGAUAUUGGCCUUCAAAUGGCACAGCCACAAGCAAAGGAAUGCCAGCAGCCACCAGGAAAAAGCAAAGAAUGGAUUCUCACCUAAAGUCUCCAGAGGGACUGUAGAGUAUCCUGCCAACACCUUGAUUUUGACUCUGUGAAACUGAUGUCAGGCUUCUGGCCUCCAGAACUGUGAGAGAAGAAAUUUCUGUUGUUUUAAACCUUCGAAUUUGUGGUAAUGUGUUAGAGCAGCCACAGGAAACUCAUAUUCUAAACUAGCAACUAUGAAAUGAGAAUUUCUAGUGUUCAGCUAAGAUACCACCGCAGAAGCAGCUGGAUAAUAUCAGAUGAGCCGAAAACUUCUCUUACCCCAUUUCCUUAUCCAUAAAAUUAGCAAAUAAUACCUGUCUUGCAGAGUUAAUUUUAAAGUUAUACAAGUAAAUACACUUUGAAAGUGACAAGUACUAGAAAAAUGUAGGGAAUUAUCCUACAAGUCUGGGUAUCCCCACCACCCAAGGCACAUGAAUGAUGCACAAUAAAAUAUACAAUUGGUUAGAAAUAGAACAAAGUGUUGAAAGUGCUUCAAAGCUCGAAAUGUAGGGCAUGAGGAAUGAAGGAAAUUCAGUUCAGGAAUAAAAUAUUUAUUCAGCAUCACUAAUAAGCCAGGCACUCUGCCAGAACCCAAAGGUAUAAAGAGGAACAAAUGAUAAUUCCUGCCCUGUGGAUGGCUUAUAGUCUAGGGUAGCAUUUUUACAGUGUGUUCACAGACCACUAAGCUCUCAAAUUUCUAUUUAAAGAUGCCAAAGGACCCAAGAUCAAGUGCUAUAUUCUAAUAUCUACCCUCUCCAUUUCCUACCCCCUCCCACAACCACACUUUCUGUAGACUCACAAUGUGUUAGUUAAUUUAAGGCAUUGAGUCCUGUUGUUAAUAAGCUGACUUGCCCUUAAUUAUCACAGGCUUUUCCAAAUUUCCUUGACAUGCACUAACCAUUUAACCUUGGGGAAAAGAAUGGAAUAACAUUCUUGCCUGCCUGUUGUAGCUGUCAUCAUAUUUAAAUGUAAUAAAACAUGGAAAGUGUUUAAUAAUUAUGGUGCUCUAGGCAAAAUAGCAGUCCUUCAAAAAUGCCCAUGCCCUAAUCUCCAGAACCUGUGAAUAUGUUACCUGACAUUGUAAAGCAACCUUGUAGGUGUGAUUAAAGUUACAAGCUCUGAGAAGAGAAAAUUACUCUGGAUUAUCUGGGUGGGCCCAGCUUAAUCAUAUGAACCCUUAAAAGUGGAGAAUGUUUUCCAGCUAAGGUCAGAGAAAGAGACUUGACAAAGGAAGAAGGGUCAUAGGGAUGUGAUACCGCUAGCUUUAGAGAUGAAGGAAGAGGACCACAGCCAAGAAAUGUGGGUAGCCUCUGAACACAAUACAAGGCAAGGACACGGGCUCUCUCCUUGAGCCUCUAGAAGGAGCACAGCCAUAAGGCAUUCUUAAACUAUGUCGCUUACCUUACCUACCUCAUCCACUUACUACUUGUAUGGCUAAUGGCAUGAGGAAGUCACUAAAACUCUCCGAGCCUUCCUGGCCUCCACUUAAAUGGGAGUGGUACCCACAGAGGGUCAGGAGGCUCAAUCAAAUCUCAAAUUCAUUAUCUCUUGCUUCUCAUGCACAAGUCAGUGUCAGCAGGAGGCAUCAGUGCUUCUGCAAAAAUAACUAAUUCAACAUUACUUUGUCAGAUCACAACCCUUCUUUGCUAAAACCUUCCAGAGGCUCCCUGUCUCACUCACAGAACAACCUCAUGGACUUCCUCUGUUCUCAGGAUUCUCAUGACACAAUAUGACCCCAUUUCCUCUGACUAUAGGUCCUUCCUCUCUCCCCCUUCCUGAUGGUGCUCCAGCCAUACUGGCCACCUUGCUGUUCCUGAGGCACACCAGGCAGCUUCCAGCCUCAGGACAUUUGCACUUGCUGUUUUCUCUGCUUAGAGCCCUCUUCCCCCAUAUCCACAUAGCUUGCUCCCUCAACUCCUUUAGAUCUUCAUUCGGCUAUUACCUUCUUCCUGAGGCCUUCCCUAACAACCCUAUGAAAAUUGCAAUACCUGCCAGCCAAACAUUCCCCAUCCUCCCUUCACUUUAAUUUCCGCCAUAGUAAUUUCAUCUUCUCACAUGCUGCAUAUUUAACUGUUUUGUUUACUUUCUUUCCUCCAUUGGAAUAUAAGCUCUAUCAGGGCUUUUCAUGAAGGACAUGCAAGUAGAUGCUUGAUAAAUAUUUGUUGGAUAAAUAAAUCAGUGCAUAUACCAAUCUGAAGUCACAAAAUCAAUAUGAGCAUCACCUUCCACUAAAGACAUAUCCUUUCAGUUAUCGAUGAAAAAUGAAGUUGAAAACACAAUAAUCAGCCUGUCAUUGAACAAUGCAGCUGCAGCUAAGAUCAAGUUCUUGACUGACUUUGCCGAGCCCAACCAAUUCAAAGGAAGAAUAAAAACAUGGUCAAGGGACCCAAGACCCAGCUCUUAUCCCCUACUCAGAGAAAACCCAGAGAGAACCAGCCUUCUGAUGUCUUGUCCUUCCUGGUUUUGACCAACCUCUAAAAACCAUAAGAACAGUUUGUCUCAGUAUUUCAGUACUUCCGCUUCCAGGCCCAGGAAAGAGCAGGAAGUGCAGGGGCGUGUGAAAAUCAAGAAAAAAGAAGAAUUAAACCCGCUACACAUGAAGCGCUCAAAGACUUCCUCUGUAACCUGUUGCAGCACACGAGUUUCAAUGUGCUUUCACUGAGAGCCCAGGGGGACUGUGCUGUCCCCAGAAUUUCGCACCAUGCCCCACACUCUCAAUGAACACUUGUUGCCUAAAAAAAAAAAAUUAAAUUUUAAGACCUUCAGUUUCUCUAUUUGUAUAAAGUGAUUAUAAAACCUACCUUAUGGAGCUGUCUGAUGAUCACAUAUGAAAUCGCAUAUGUUAAGUGCUUAUGCAGCGUCUGGCACAUGAUCAGCAUUAAUUUUAUGUGAACUGCCAUUUUGAUGGCAGUGGUGGCGAUCUGAUGGUGGAGGAGGUUUAGUUAGCGCUGGGUAGAUUGUAACAUAUACCUAUCCUUAAUGAUUUGUUCAACCUGGAAUUUUGGACGGAGCCUGGGCCUGAGGAGUUGAACCUUAGAGUGAUCCAUUUCUCUUGGAAAAGUCCUGUUCAGUUUGAGCAAGAAACUCUGGAAAGGGGAAGGAUGUAUUUUAAUCCCAGCUACCAGGGUGACAGGCAGCAGAACUGAAACAGCAUGACUAAGCACAGACCAUCUCCUUUCAUUACAUGGGGGGCUGAGGUCUUUCCUCUCUACUGCCAGGGACUGGAGAAAGGAAAG